UUGGAGCUUCUUUUCACAAGUGUUUUAAAGUUGUUUGCUUUCUCCUUUAUAGAUUCAUUUUAUGAUCACCUUUGCACUAUAAAAACCAUAUCAGUGGGAGAACUGCUUGGAUCCAGGGAGCCACCAGGCUGCCAGCUGACACCUGAGGGUGUGGAAAGGGGCUAUUCCUCUUCAUCCCAGGGUAACCCAGUGAGCCUAGAGAAGAAUGAUGUCAACUCUCUCAUGGCUUUGUCACGUCCAUUGUCCGGAGAGGACAUAAUCCCAGUAGCUGGAUCCCUGAUGUUACACCCACCAUGACCAUAGACGACCUGCAGGAACAGUCAGUGAAGGCGAUUGACUGGGUGGUCAGUGUAGUCAAUUAAGUGGUUCUACCUGCUAUAGCCUUGUACCAGAGAUGACAUCAGCACUGGGCAAGAUGGAUGACCUCACUUUGGUCCACUUCUUUUGAUGGCCGUGAAACCAGGAGACAAUUUCUGUGACGAUAAUGGACCAUGCCCUCUUCACAUCUAAAUUGGAGAGCCAAAGUGAGUUCCUCUCCGCAGAGGAGAAAUCGGAGCUGGUCAAGGUGGUCGUUGGAAUUAUCGUUGACUAGCCUGGUUGCCUCUGCCCGGAUGAGAACAGCGUCUCUGCAGAGUCAUUGGUUGACAAAGUGAUAGUGGCUUGUAACAUUAUCAUGGUACUUAGAAAUGAUUAUACAGUGCAGAAAACAAUUAUUGAGGAGGAAGAGGAGGGCAUGGAGACGACCCCCUGCUGGUAUGUUGCCUGAACCACACUUUGGUAAAGGAUGCUGCCAGUUAGCUUGAGGUCAUGAGAGCUCAUCCUCAGGUCAUCCCAAUCCAGUCCACCAUUGGUGAGGCAGUGCUGGGGAGAACUAAGGUACGGGAUGCAUAUAAAGCCAGUCCUAUUUCAGCCCAGUCUGAUACAUUGGCUGCUGUAUGUAUCACACACACACCAACCAAUACUUCUCCUGAGUCGUUAAUAAUGUGCUGAUGACAAUAUUGAGGUUAGUGACCCAUAGCAACACCAUUAA